GCAUGACCAAAUAUGAUGCAUGUUGUCUACAACACACAAAGAAGCCUGCAAGUGCUGCACUUCUUUCUUCGCGGUGGAAGAUGAAAGGCACAGCAAACAGGCUGUGAUUUCAAUGGCAUAAUGCUGAUAAGCACAGACCAUUGGACCCUAGAAACUUCAUCAAUGUGCUAGGCAUCUGAAAUUUAACAGGAUUUGUCCAGUGUCUUCUGACAUGGAUAUAUCUUAAGGAAUAGCCUUCUGCUCCUCAAUUCUUGCUCUGUUGGGUCUGGUGACAGGCCUGGAGACAGGGAGGUGUGCUGGGAAUGAGCCCUGGGAUAAUCAACUUCAGCUUCUGACGCAGCUGCCCCUCUGAUGCAACAAAACCGCUAACAGUGAGGUGCUAUGAUAAAGGGCAUGAGCUUUGGAGUCAGACUCUCCUGGAUCCAAAUCCAGCUGUAAUAUGGCUAGCUGUGUGAAUCAUGUAAAAAAAAAAAAUCCUCAAGCCUCAAUCUCUCCAUCUUUAAAAUGGGAACAAUAGUACCUGCCUCAGAGGGUGCUUGUGAAAAUAAAUUUGAUAAUGCACAGAAAACACUUCUUGCAAUGCUCCACACAUAAUACAUCUUUAAUAAAUGCUUGUUCUUCUUCUUA